CCUACGGGAGGCUGCAGUGAGGAAUAUUGGUCAAUGGGCGGAAGCCUGAACCAGCCAAGUAGCGUGCGGGAUGAAGGCCCUACGGGUCGUAAACCGCUUUUGCACGGGGAUAACACCCUCCACUUGUGGAGGUCUGCAGGUACCGUGCGAAUAAGGGCCGGCUAAUUCCGUGCCAGCAGCCGCGGUAAUACGGAAGGCCCGAGCGUUAUCCGGAUUCAUUGGGCUUAAAGGGAGCGUAGGCGGGCGUUCAAGUCAGCUGUAAAAUCGCGCGGCUCAACCGCGCCCCGCAGUUUACACGGGACGCAUUGAGUUCACAACAGGCAGGUGGAAUUCGUGGUGGAGCGGUGAAAUGCAGAGAUAUCACGAGGAACCCCGAUUGCGAAGGCAGCCUGCCGGGGUGCGUCUGACGCUGAGGCUCGAAGGUGCGGGUAUCAAACAGGAGUAGAUACCCCUGUAGUC
rnacentral:rRNA from 1 species